GAAGAUCGCAAUGGUUUUCGUCGUGGUGAUAGGGCGCAUGGGCAGGAUGGUAUAGCCAUCCGGCGAAAGCACCCAUGCGCGGUAAGCAGGCUCCUGACGGGGCCUUUUUUUAUGCCCGGAG
rfam:Rhizobium yanglingense strain CCBAT 01603 genomic scaffold C611, whole genome shotgun sequence.